rnacentral:misc_RNA from 2 species
AAACACGAAGGGGAGCCGAAGCUCCCCUUGAAUGCGUUUUGUGUGCUCUUUUCUUGUUAUUGAGGGGCGGUCUGUUGUUGUUUUUGUCAACCGUGGCCCUUUACCGCUGUUCUGGCGACCCCCAUCCGGGGUCAAAGAGCAAACAUAUUUUUUUGAGCGCUGACUUGCCUUAUCAGGUGAUCCAACCAGUUCGGGGCUACCUUGAGGUAGUU